rnacentral:rRNA from 1 species
GACGAACGCUGGCGGCGUGCUUAACACAUGCAAGUCGAACGGUAAGGCCCUUCGGGGUACCCGAGUGGCGAACGGGUGAGUAACGCGUGAGUAACCUGCCCUUCACUCUGGGAUAACAGUUGGAAACGGCUGCUAAUACCGGAUAUUCAGCUCCUGUCGCAUGGUGGGGGUUGGAAAGUUUUGGUGGUGGAGGAUGGGCUCGCGUCCUAUCAGCUUGUUGGUGGGGUGAUGGCCUACCAAGGCGUCGACGGGUAGCCGGCCUGAGAGGGCGACCGGCCACAUUGGGACUGAGAUACGGCCCAAACUCCUACGGGAGGCAGCAGUGGGGAAUAUUGCACAAUGGGCGGAAGCCUGAUGCAGCAACGCCGCGUGCGGGAUGACGGCCUUCGGGUUGUAAACCGCUUUCAGCAGGGACGAAGCGCAAGUGACGGUACCUGCAGAAGAAGCACCGGCUAACUACGUG